AAAAUAUAUUUAUAUAUUUAUUUAUAUUUAAUUUAGCUAUGAUGAAGAAACACAGAGAAUGGACAAAGAUUUUCCUAAAAAAAUAAAUGAAGGCUUCCCUGGUAUUGGAAACAAAGUUAAUUCUGCUUUUAAGACAAACGGAUUUUUAUAUUUGUUUCAUGGAAAUCGUCAGUAUGAAUUCAGCACAUCCAAACGAAGAGUGACACGCAUUUUGAAGAACACUAGUUGGCUAAACUGUGAAAGCAAAAAAUAGUGACUACAGCCAUGCAUUUUAUAUGUUAAUUAUUUUUUUAUACGCGCACCUUGGCUACUAUGUAUUUAACUUAUAAUAAUUGUUUUGUGUAAUAUAUAAUAAAGAAUGCAAUUAUUCAUA